rnacentral:ncRNA from 1 species
CGUAUCAUUGUGCUUCGCGUCCGACGCGGGGCGAUAAGUCCUACGAAAGGGAUGAUAUGAC